AUGAUCCCAGCAGAAUCACCAUUAACUAAUACUCCAUCUCUUCCAAAAUUAAGCAGACAUCGGAUGCUUUGUCAUGUUGUUGCAGUCUUUCGCUGCAAUUUGUUUGGUCAUUCAUUAACACCUAUGGUUUGUACUCCAUCAUUUAUUUUACCAAAUCUUCGUUCCCCUGUUCCUGACAGGCUCCUUCCUGUUAGCUCCUUCAACUGUGCUUGUUUUUCAGGCGAUGAAACUGUCCCAGUAAUGGAACUGGUUCAUUCACGAGAGACCCUUGUUGAAUUGGAGUUGCCACACUUGCUACACAGUUGUGCACGUGGCAGCCCCAUGCAACAGGAAAUUUUCAAGACACAUGGCCUUUUCCAGGCACCUUAUAUCGAGGAUCCUAACAUGGGGGUCAAGAUGUUCGAAAGCGCUAGGAUCAUAGAGUAUCUAAGGGCAACAUAUUCACUCUAUCCUCAGUAA
rnacentral:rRNA from 1 species